rnacentral:misc_RNA from 1 species
GCACAGCCUCAGCCAGAUUACAGAAAGUAAUACAGUACAAAAUGCGCUGAUUAUUCUUAAUCCGUUUAUGGCCGCGCCAUCUCUUGCCAGCCUGGCGAGAGCGAUAUUAUCCAUCCGCAGGCGGGCAGUGAGGCGAUGGGGCUGCUAAUUUUACAGGAGAUUGCGCCUACGGAGAAAACCGUGCUUUUUGAAGCGACCAUGACGUCAGGUUACUACAAAAACGCGGAAACGAACGGGGAAGGCUAUCGCUACGAUAUUACCAGUUUCCGGGUGUAUAAAAUGGAUCUGUACGCGUAGCGGUCUAUCAUCAAUGACUGACUGCACUAAAAAAGUCCGGCGUAAGUCGGACUUCAUUUCGUAAAAAACGAGCUAUUCAUCAUAUAUAAUCUAAUUUUAACGAUGAGUCAGGCGAGGUAAGAU